rnacentral:lncRNA from 1 species
AUGAGAGUUGUGUCUUAUAACUCCCGUGGUCCGCGACUUGGACAGGGCACUGGAGCGAGAGCCCAACGCAUUGUUAUUGACAAACUCUUUGAGCAUGCGGAUGUGGUUUGUUGUCUGGAUAAACUGAACACUGUGCAUAAUGAUUUCCACGGAGCAGGGGAAUCUACGACAGACCUUAACACCAGAAUUCUGCGUGGCAGGAUCCCAGGUGGUGUGGCUAUAUUCUGGCAUAAGAAACUUGACUCAUUGGUCACCGUGAUCAGGUUAGAUGUGGAUUGGUGCGUAGGAAUCAAGGUGGUGCAGGAUAAGAAUGUUUUUAUAAUCUUAAAUGUAUACACUCCAUAUGAAUGUCACAAAAAUGAAGAUGAGUACUUGAAUAAGCUUGCUUUUAUUGGGUCUUAUAUAAGGGAAAGUGAGUAUACAUCCAUAUUUGUCUUGGGGGAUCUGAAUGCUGAUAUAUCAGAUACUAACUCAUUGUUUGGUCAACACCUGACACAAUUCUGCAAAGAUAACAAGGUGAUUCUGUCCAGUAAGGAACUAUUGCCAGCUGAUAGUUAUACACAUGUGAGUGAAGCUUGGCAUACUACAUCCUGGUUGGACCACUGUAUGUCUACAUUUGAUGCACAUGCUUGUAUAGAGGAGGCUGAGAUCUUAUAUGGUAUGGCCACUGGAGAUCAUAUUCCGGUCUCUAUGUUCAUUAACAUCAAGGGCCUACCUGAGCUUGUCUCUAAUGACAGCCAUAAACCAAGUGAGAUGCUGGACUGGGCUAGGCUCACAGAUGUUGACCUGCAAUAUUACAAGUUACUGACUGAUGUGUACUUAAGAAUUAUUGAGUUACCUGUUGAUGCAAUUAUGUGUGGGAAUAUCAACUGUAAGAAUGUAAGUCAUAAUAAUGACCUGGGUGCAAUGUAUGAUAAAAUUGUGAACUGUCUAGUUGUUGGAAGUGAACCACUGACAAGAAAGGGGGUGAAACAACAUAUUGUGAGACCAGGGUGGAAUGACUAUGUUCAUGAAGUUCAUAUGGAGGCAAAAGAUGCUUUUAGAAGAUGGGUUUUAGCAGGCAAACCGAGGCAUGGCCCAGUCUGUGAGCACAAGGUACGGACUAAUGCUAGAUUUAAAUAUGCUGUGCGUUUUAUAAAAAGAAACGAGCAGACUAUGAGGGCGAACUCUAUGGCGAAAAAGUUACAAAUUAAUAAUGUAUAUGAGUUCUGGAAGGAGGUGAAGGUGGUAAACAACAGCAAGAUGCCACUGCCUUCUAGCAUUGAUGGCAUUACUGAACCUGAAAACAUUGCAGAGCUAUGGAGGAGACACUGA